rnacentral:rRNA from 1 species
UACGUAGGGUGCAAGCGUUGUCCGGAAUUAUUGGGCGUAAAGGGCUCGUAGGCGGCCAACUAAGUCAGACGUGAAAUCCCUCGGCUUAACCGGGGAACUGCGUCUGAUACUGGAUGGCUUGAGUUUGGGAGAGGGAUGCGGAAUUCCAGGUGUAGCGGUGAAAUGCGUAGAUAUCUGGAGGAACACCGGUGGCGAAGGCGGCAUCCUGGACCAACACUGACGCUGAGGAGCGAAAGCCAGGGGAGCAAACGGG